UACGUAGGGGGCAAGCGUUGUCCGGAUUUAUUGGGCGUAAAGAGCGUGUAGGCGGCUUUACAGGUCCGUUGUGAAAACUCGAGGCUCAACCUCGAGACGCCGGUGGAAACCGUAAAGCUAGAGUCCGGAAGAGGAGAGUGGAAUUCCUGGUGUAGCGGUGAAAUGCGCAGAUAUCAGGAGGAACACCGUGGCGAAAGCGGCUCUCUGGGACGGUACUGACGCUGAGGUGCGAAAGCGUGGGGAGCAAACAGG
rnacentral:rRNA from 1 species